GCCCCCUUUCAAUGCAGCCUGCUUACAGCCCUCAACCAAAAUGGCCGCUCCCGCGACUCCCACGUGCGCCCACAAAGAUGGCGCCGACGAUUUCCCCUCAUCGCUGCCCUUAAAAGAAAUGGCCGCCGCAGCUUCAACCCACGCCUAGAGGAGGCUAGAGAGGGAGGAAAGCGGGGGGCGGGGGGGAGGAAAGCAGCGAGGACGGCGGAGAAGGACUGCCGGGAGUGGAAUCCCACACACCGCGAGGGGAAGGAAGGGAGAGGCGGUCACCCUCAGGGGAAACAGGUCCCCCCCCCCUGGAGGAAAUGGACUGAUCGGAACCUGGCUGUGACAUCGGCUCAGAAUCCCAGCCUCACUUUGCAGUUGAGGCCAACAGCCUUUUGGUGGUUUCUCUGCAAGUGAAUCAGGAAAAACUCUUAUUGGACGCCGAGAAAGCAAAGCCUGAAGACUGAUGUCUGGGGAAAUGUCAGCCACCGAGGAGGACAUUCCCAAUGUCAAGGAGGACGAAGGAAAA